rnacentral:pre_miRNA from 1 species
UUUGAGGGGAAUGUUGUCUGGCUCGAGGUCACUGCUAGUCCUCCACCCUGUGGAAGAGAUCUCGGACCAGGCUUCAUUCCCCCCAAU